rnacentral:rRNA from 1 species
ACGAACGCUGGCGGCAGGCUUAACACAUGCAAGUCGAACGCCCCGCAAGGGGAGUGGCAGACGGGUGAGUAACGCGUGGGAAUCUACCUAGCUCUUCGGAAUAGCUCCGGGAAACUGGAAUUAAUACCGAGUACGCCCUACGGGGGAAAGAUUUAUCGGAGUUAGAUGAGCCCGCGUUGGAUUAGCUAGUUGGUGGGGUAAUGGCCUACCAAGGCGACGAUCCAUAGCUGGUCUGAGAGGAUGAUCAGCCACACUGGGACUGAGACACGGCCCAGACUCCUACGGGAGGCAGCAGUGGGGAAUAUUGGACAAUGGGCGCAAGCCUGAUCCAGCCAUGCCGCGUGAGUGAUGAAGGCCCUAGGGUUGUAAAGCUCUUUCAGUGGGGAAGAUAAUGACGGUACCCACAGAAGAAGCCCCGGCUAACUUCGU